UACGGGGGGGGCAAGCGUUGUUCGGAAUUACUGGGCGUAAAGCGCACGUAGGCGGUUCGUUAAGUCAUGUGUGAAAUCCCUCGGCUCAACCGAGGAAUUGCGCCUGAUACUGGCGGGCUAGAGAUCGAUAGGGGUGAGUGGAACUCCAGGUGGAGCGGUGAAAUGCGUAGAUAUCUGGAGGAACACCGGUGGCGAAAGCGGCUCACUGGAUCGAUACUGACGCUGAGGUGCGAAAGCUAGGGUAGCAAACGGG
rnacentral:rRNA from 1 species